GUUAUAUUAAUGACGUGACUGCACAUGAUUUUCUUCUCGACUUUUUUUGCAGUAAAGUCUGGGACACCUGCAGGAGACUGAAGAACGGUUCUAGCGCUGGCGUUUCCUUCCUACUCUGGGACUAUCGCCCUUCAAACAGAGCCAUUCCAGAUGGAAGCUUGCAACAUGAGAGUGUUUUCCCUCGAAUAGAGGGAUGUUCCUGCCAAGGCUUGGAUCGUCUUGGAGGAAGUGGAGUGCUGUCAGAACCACGUGAUGCUGAGCUGGAAACUUCUGGGGCCAGAUCCUGUGGCUGGAGAAGCUGAGUGGCCAGAUGCGAGCUGGAGCGGUCUCUCCCGUGUGCCGUCCCCGAGCUGUGGCGCUCACCAGCCCUGUGUCUUCUUCUGCUAACACUCACCCUCACGGCUCCCUGUAUUACAAGGUUACCGAGAGUGACUAAUGCUUCCUCCCCACCUAGGCUUUUGCUUAAACAAACAAACAAACAAACAAACAAACAAACAAACAAAAAACCACACCUCCCCAGGAUGCUCCCCAGAGCUGCCUGCCUUUUAAAUAAAGCCGGAGCAAGUCAAAUUUCUGUGCGUGACUCCGUAUUCGUACUUAUGGCUGUGCUACCAGGGCUGGGAAUUUUAGUGCUGAAAGCCCUUGCUGUAAAAUGUAACUGGUUGCAUCCUCUCUUUCCUAAACUUCUAACGCGC
rnacentral:lncRNA from 1 species